rnacentral:rRNA from 1 species
CUACCAAGACAGUGACGGUUGACGGGAGAUAAGGGUCUUAUUCCGGAGAGGGAGCCUGAGAGAUGGCUCCCACGUCCAAGGACGGCAGCAGGCGCGAAAAUUGCCCACUCUUCGCGAGGAGGCGGUUAUGAGACGUGAACGAAAGACCAGACUGCAAAGGAGUCUGCGUGACGCAAUUGGAGGGCAAGUUUGGUGCCAGCAGCCGCGGUAAUACCGACUCCAAGAGUUUCUAUGGUGGAUGCUGCAGUUAAAAAGUCCGUAGUUGACACGGCAAUCAAAGCGCAUCGGCCAACGGUGCUGCGUUUGCCAGUGGUGGCGGAACGGACAGGGGGCACAGUAUAUGCGGGCGAGAGAUGAAAUGACCAAGACCCUGCGUGGACUGACCGAGGCGAAGGCGGUGCCCUUGUACGACUCCGCGGAUCAAGGACGAAGGCUGGAGUAUCGAAAGUGAUUAGAUACCGCUGUAGUUCCAGCAGUAAAAGAUGCC